GUGUGCGUGUGCAAUGCCAUGGAUUUAAUAUGGAAAAUAGGUGGAUUUUUACAUGAAUAGCUUGUAAAUUCGUUGACAAUAUGUUUAUGCAAAGAGUGUUUUUGAGGCGGUUGUGGUCUGUACGGAUUUGGCAUGUGACACGUUUAAGCAUGGUACACCCGGAUGACAGUCUCAAGCGGUCGUAUUUACUAACAGAUCGGUGGGACUUUCGUCCGUUUGUAACACUUACGGUUCAACCAGUCGUCAACCAACAUCAAUGACAACGACGAUCAACAAAGACUGCUAUCGAUGCAACAAAUCGAGAAUCCAUAGCUGUGAGCAUCCAGUGGGAGGAGAUCGAAAAUGGACGUACCUAAUGUACCACUUUUGAGAGUCUCAAGUUAAGACUUUGGAAAUAUGUGCACUAUUUCAGCCAAUCAAAAUGCCACUUUCAAAUCGAUGGAAAUGAAUUUUUAUCUGGUGAUGCUGAUAACUCCUGAGCUGCUCUCCUGAACAAUUAUAUCAUUUUGCUCCAGCCAAAUGGUUCUGAAUUCUCUAAACGAUGCCGUUGCUACCCAUCGAGCCGAUUGGAUGCCAAAUGAAACAAAAACUGAAAGAAAAAUAUUCAAACAAAAAAUCCACGAAUCGAAUAUAUUCAAUCCAAAUUGUUGUCACUUUAUUGAAUUUAAUACAUGACUAGAUUUUAUCCAAUUCUGUUCAAACAAUCAAAAUACAAUUUGCAAUUAAAAUUAAAUGAGUUGAAGCCA